CUCUGUUAAAUUCUUUAAAGUUCUUUCCUUUCCUCUCUCUUUACGUUUCCGAUCGUCUCGGAUUGGAGCAGAAAAGGCAAAAUUUGAGAAGAAUUCUUUAUUGAUAAUUAUACAGAAGUGUAUUUUUGAAUCCUGUUGAAGGUAUUAGCAUUGUAGAGAUUCUCCAAAUGCAAAAUAUUGGCAGGACCAGAAAUCAGCCAAGG
rnacentral:misc_RNA from 1 species